UGGGGUGUAGCAGAGAGGCAAUGCAUCCGGUCGUUAACCGGGAGAUCGGAGGUUCGAAUCCUCCCGCCCCAG
rfam:Candidate division Zixibacteria bacterium SM23_73_3 WORSMTZ_2796, whole genome shotgun sequence.